GGGUUGUGAGGUUAAGCGACUAAGCGUACACGGUGGAUGCCCUGGCAGUCAGAGGCGAUGAAGGACGUGCUAAUCUGCGAUAAGCGCCGGUAAGGUGAUAUGAACCGUUAUAACCGGCGAUUUCCGAAUGGGGAAACCCAGUGUGACUCGUCACACUAUCAUUAACUGAAUCCAUAGGUUAAUGAGGCGAACCGGGGGAACUGAAACAUCUAAGUACCCCGAGGAAAAGAAAUCAACCGAGAUUCCCCCAGUAGCGGCGAGCGAACGGGGAGGAGCCCAGAGCCUGAAUCAGCAUGUGUGUUAGUGGAAGCGUCUGGAAAGGCGCGCGAUACAGGGUGACAGCCCCGUACACAAAAGCGCAUGUGCUGUGAGCUCGAUGAGUAGGGCGGGACACGUGGUAUCCUGUCUGAAUAUGGGGGGACCAUCCUCCAAGGCUAAAUACUCCUGACUGACCGAUAGUGAACCAGUACCGUGAGGGAAAGGCGAAAAGAACCCCGGCGAGGGGAGUGAAAAAGAACCUGAAACCGUGUACGUACAAGCAGUGGGAGCACCCUUCGGGGUGUGACUGCGUACCUUUUGUAUAAUGGGUCAGCGACUUAUAUUCUGUAGCAAGGUUAACCGAAUAGGGGAGCCGGAGGGAAACCGAGUCUUAAUUGGGCGUUAAGUUGCAGGGUAUAGACCCGAAACCCGGUGAUCUAGCCAUGGGCAGGUUGAAGGUUGGGUAACACUAACUGGAGGACCGAACCGACUAAUGUUGAAAAAUUAGCGGAUGACCUGUGGCUGGGGGUGAAAGGCCAAUCAAACCGGGAGAUAGCUGGUUCUCCCCGAAAGCUAUUUAGGUAGCGCCUCGUGAAUUCAUCUCCGGGGGUAGAGCACUGUUUCGGCUAGGGGGCCAUCCCGGCUUACCAACCCGAUGCAAACUGCGAAUACCGGAGAAUGUUAUCACGGGAGACACACGGCGGGUGCUAACGUCCGUCGUGAAGAGGGAAACAACCCAGACCGCCAGCUAAGGUCCCAAAGUCAUGGUUAAGUGGGAAACGAUGUGGGAAGGCCCAGACAGCCAGGAUGUUGGCUUAGAAGCAGCCAUCAUUUAAAGAAAGCGUAAUAGCUCACUGGUCGAGUCGGCCUGCGCGGAAGAUGUAACGGGGCUAAACCAUGCACCGAAGCUGCGGCAGCGAACGUAUCACCCAAGACAACUUUGCGGAGUUGACGAUUGACGGAGCGAAGCGACGUCAAAGCGUUCAUUAAAGUCGAGUUGGCUUAGGGAUACGUUCGUUGGGUAGGGGAGCGUUCUGUAAGCCUGUGAAGGUGUGCUGUGAGGCAUGCUGGAGGUAUCAGAAGUGCGAAUGCUGACAUAAGUAACGAUAAAGCGGGUGAAAAGCCCGCUCGCCGGAAGACCAAGGGUUCCUGUCCAACGUUAAUCGGGGCAGGGUGAGUCGACCCCUAAGGCGAGGCCGAAAGGCGUAGUCGAUGGGAAACGGGUUAAUAUUCCCGUACUUGGUGUUACUGCGAAGGGGGGACGGAGAAGGCUAUGUUGGCCGGGCGACGGUUGUCCCGGUUUAAGCGUGUAGGUGUGUGUUCCAGGUAAAUCCGGUUCACUUUAACACUGAGGCGUGACGACGAGGCACUACGGUGCUGAAGCAACAAAUGCCCUGCUUCCAGGAAAAGCCUCUAAGCAUCAGGUAACAUCAAAUCGUACCCCAAACCGACACAGGUGGUCAGGUAGAGAAUACCAAGGCGCUUGAGAGAACUCGGGUGAAGGAACUAGGCAAAAUGGUGCCGUAACUUCGGGAGAAGGCACGCUGACAUGUAGGUGAAGUGAUUUACUCAUGGAGCUGAAGUCAGUCGAAGAUACCAGCUGGCUGCAACUGUUUAUUAAAAACACAGCACUGUGCAAACACGAAAGUGGACGUAUACGGUGUGACGCCUGCCCGGUGCCGGAAGGUUAAUUGAUGGGGUCAGCGCAAGCGAAGCUCCUGAUCGAAGCCCCGGUAAACGGCGGCCGUAACUAUAACGGUCCUAAGGUAGCGAAAUUCCUUGUCGGGUAAGUUCCGACCUGCACGAAUGGCGUAAUGAUGGCCAGGCUGUCUCCACCCGAGACUCAGUGAAAUUGAACUCGCUGUGAAGAUGCAGUGUACCCGCGGCAAGACGGAAAGACCCCGUGAACCUUUACUAUAGCUUGACACUGAACAUUGAGCCUUGAUGUGUAGGAUAGGUGGGAGGCUUUGAAGUGUGGACGCCAGUCUGCAUGGAGCCGACCUUGAAAUACCACCCUUUAAUGUUUGAUGUUCUAACGUGGACCCGUAAUCCGGGUUGCGGACAGUGUCUGGUGGGUAGUUUGACUGGGGCGGUCUCCUCCUAAAGAGUAACGGAGGAGCACGAAGGUUGGCUAAUCCUGGUCGGACAUCAGGAGGUUAGUGCAAUGGCAUAAGCCAGCUUGACUGCGAGCGUGACGGCGCGAGCAGGUGCGAAAGCAGGUCAUAGUGAUCCGGUGGUUCUGAAUGGAAGGGCCAUCGCUCAACGGAUAAAAGGUACUCCGGGGAUAACAGGCUGAUACCGCCCAAGAGUUCAUAUCGACGGCGGUGUUUGGCACCUCGAUGUCGGCUCAUCACAUCCUGGGGCUGAAGUAGGUCCCAAGGGUAUGGCUGUUCGCCAUUUAAAGUGGUACGCGAGCUGGGUUUAGAACGUCGUGAGACAGUUCGGUCCCUAUCUGCCGUGGGCGCUGGAGAACUGAGGGGGGCUGCUCCUAGUACGAGAGGACCGGAGUGGACGCAUCACUGGUGUUCGGGUUGUCAUGCCAAUGGCACUGCCCGGUAGCUAAAUGCGGAAGAGAUAAGUGCUGAAAGCAUCUAAGCACGAAACUUGCCCCGAGAUGAGUUCUCCCUGAGACUUAAAGUCUCCUGAAGGAACGUUGAAGACGACGACGUUGAUAGGCCGGGUGUGUAAGCGCAGCGAUGCGUUGAGCUAACCGGUACUAAUGAACCGUGAGGCUUAACCUUACAACGCCGAAG
rnacentral:rRNA from 1 species